rnacentral:rRNA from 1 species
UGAAGCCGGAAUUGCUAGUAAUGGCAGGUCAGCAUACUGCCGUGAAUACGUUCCCGGACCUUGUACACACCGCCCGUCACACCAUGAGAGUUGGGGAUACCCGAAGCCUGUGAGCUAACUUUUAGAGGCAGCAGUCGAAGGUAGAAUCAAUGAUUGGGGUGAAGUCGUAACAAGGUACC